rnacentral:rRNA from 1 species
CACUAGUCAACACACAACAACUAAUAAUGUCAACCAACAAAAAAUUAAAACUUUCAACAACGGAUCUCUUGGUUCUCGCAUCGAUGAAGAACGCAGCGAAAUGCGAUACGUAAUAUGAAUUGCAGUUUUCGUGAAUCAUCGAAUCUUUGAACGCACAUUGCGCCUUGUGGUAUUCCACAAGGCAUGCCUGUUUGAGCGUCAUUUCUCCCUCAAACCCCCGGUUUGGCGUUGAAUGGUACUCAGGUUCGUUCGAAAGCUAUGCGGUCUCAAUGUUUUAAUUCUCAUUGACUCCCCCAUACUUUUGACCUCAAAUCAGGUAGGGACUACCCGCCUGAACUUAAGCAUAUCAU